rnacentral:rRNA from 1 species
CCCUAAAUCUUGAUGUCUCUCACACACAAACAUCCGCCCGAGAACUACGAGCACAAACGCUUAAAACUCUAAGGACUUGGCGGUGCCCUAAACCCACCUAGAGGAGCCUGUUCUAUAACCGAUACUCCACGAUACACCCAACCACUUCUUGCCAAAACAGCCUACAUACCGCCGUCGCCAGCCCACCUCCAUGAGAGCACAACAGUGAGCUUAAAAGCCCACUAACCCGCUAACAAGACAGGUCAAGGUAUAGCCUAUGAAGUGGAAGAAAUGGGCUACAUUUUCUACCCUAAUAGAACACCAACGAAAAGAGGCAUGAAACCUGCCUCUUAGAAGGCGGAUUUAGCAGUAAAGAGGGACUAUCAAGCCCCCUUUAAGCCGGUCCUAGGGCA